rnacentral:rRNA from 1 species
UCCGAUUGCGAAGGCAGCUCACUAGACUGCAACUGACACUGAUGCUCGAAAGUGUGGGUAUCAAACAGGAUUAGAUACCCUGGUAGUCCACACAGUAAACGAUGAAUACUCGCUGUUUGCGAUAUACAGUAAGCGGCCAAGCGAAAGCAUUAAGUAUUCCACCUGGGGAGUACGCCGGCAACGGUGAAACUCAAAGGAAUUGACGGGGGCCCGCACAAGCGGAGGAACAUGUGGUUUAAUUCGAUGAUACGCGAGGAACCUUACCCGGGCUUAAAUUGCAUUUGAAUAAUCUGGAAACAGGUUAGCCGCAAGGCAAAUGUGAAGGUGCUGCAUGGUUGUCGUCAGCUCGUGCCGUGAGGUGUCGGCUUAAGUGCCAUAACGAGCGCAACCCUUAUCUUUAGUUACUAACAGGUCAUGCUGAGGACUCUAGAGAGACUGCCGUCGUAAGAUGUGAGGAAGGUGGGGAUGACGUCAAAUCAGCACGGCCCUUACGUCCGGGGCUACACACGUGUUACAAUGGGGGGUACAGAAGGCAGCUACCUGGCGACAGGAUGCUAAUCCCAAAAACCUCUCUCAGUUCGGAUCGAAGUCUGCAACCCGACUUCGUGAAGCUGGAUUCGCUAGUAAUCGCGCAUCAGCCAUGGCGCGGUGAAUACGUUCCCGGGCCUUGUACACACCGCCCGUCAAGCCAUGAAAGCCGGGGGUACCUGAAGUACGUAACCGCAAGGAGCGUCCUAGGGUAAAACUGGUAAUUGGGGCUAAGUCGUAACAAGGUAG